UCCGAGUUGACCCCGGCAGUCUCCCAUGAGUCCCCACCAUCACGUGCUGGCAACAUGGAACGAGGGUUGCGCUCGUUGCGGGACUUAACCCAACAUCUCACGACACGAGCUGACGACAACCAUGCACCACCUGUACACCAGCCAAAAGGCCACGCCAUCUCUGACGUGCUCCGGUGUAUGUCAAGCCUUGGUAAGGUUCUUCGCGUUGCAUCGAAUUAAUCCGCAUGCUCCGCCGCUUGUGCGGGCCCCCGUCAAUUCCUUUGAGUUUUAGCCUUGCGGCCGUACUCCCCAGGCGGGGCGCUUAAUGCGUUAGCUACGGCGCAGAACUCGUGGAAUGAGCCCCACACCCAGCGCCCAACGUUUACGGCAUGGACUAC
rnacentral:misc_RNA from 1 species